rnacentral:rRNA from 1 species
CUCUUUUUGACACAUAAAAAGUACCGUCUGCUCAAUGCAAUUUGUAAAUAGCCGCAGUAUUCUGACUGUGCUAAGGUAGCAUAAUCAUUAGUCUUUUAAUUGAAGGCUGGUAUGAAUGACGAGACGAGAAAAUAGCUGUCUCUAAAAUAAAUCUUGAAUUUUAUUUCUAAGUGAAAAAGCUUAGAUAAUUUUAAAGGACGAUCAGACCCUUUGGAGCUUUAUUUAUUUUAAAUUUUAAUUUAUUUUAGAUUAUUGAAUGAAUAAUAAAUUUUGUUGGGGCGACAGAGAGUAAUAAAUACCACUCUUUUUUUUAAACAAUUAUAAUUGAAAAAUUGAUCCUUAAAGUAAGAUUAAAAGACUAAGUUACCCUAGGGAUAACAGCGUAAUCUUCUUGGAGAGUUCAAAUCGAUAAGAAGGUUUGCGACCUCGAUGUUGGAUUAAGAGAUUGACAAGGUGCAGAAGUUUUGUUGGAAAGUCUGUUCGACUUUUAAUUUCUUACAUGAUCUGA